UACGUAGGGUCCAAGCGUUAAUCGGAAUUACUGGGCGUAAAGCGUGCGCAGGCGGUUGUGGAAGACCGAUGUGAAAUCCCCGAGCUUAACUUGGGAAUUGCAUUGGUGACUGCACGGCUAGAGUGUGUCAGAGGGGGGUAGAAUUCCACGUGUAGCAGUGAAAUGCGUAGAGAUGUGGAGGAAUACCGAUGGCGAAGGCAGCCCCCUGGGAUAACACUGACGCUCAUGCACGAAAGCGUGGGGAGCAAACAGG
rnacentral:rRNA from 1 species